UGGGGAACGUAAUGCACAGAUAUUUAUGUGUGUAACACUGAAAUCUACAGAGUCUGCAGAAAUAGCUCAACAUCUUAAAGAUAUCAAUGCUUAUAAAUUUGAAGAACACAAUCCUGUAAAACUCACAGAUUCUUCCACCGCACCACGAGCGCGGCCCUAUAACAAAGACUUGCGGUCAGCUGGUAAUUCGCUGUUUAAACGCUUUGUUAAACAAACCUCAGCCACCAGGGAUCCUAAAGCCGGAGAUCUUUAUGUCACCAUUGCUGACACACUAAAUACCAAUUUAUACAUCCAGACCUGGCGCAGCAACCCUAAUAAAGCUGAUAAACAUCCACCUUCUGUAACUGGAAAAGGCAAAGAACUAGUCACCAUCAUGUCAGUAGACACUGCCGCAGGAAGUCCUUUGGAUGAUUGUCCUCACUGUUGGUCUGCUUGGCUCACAUUGUGAGGGCGCUAUAUCCUGUAAAAAUGAAGAUGAUAAAGAUGUAGACUGAACCUUAGAAAGACUAACAAGCAUGUCAACAACCAAGCUGGUGUCCUGGCAAAUACCCUGAAGCCCUACUUUGAAAAAGAUACGCAGUCAUCAGAUUUUGGAUUCAUUGCAUACAAUGACCAACCACCAAAUGAAAAUAGUGUAAGUUCCACCCAUGGCCACAGCAAAGGAGUUGUGAUGAUAGAUGAGGACAAUGUAGUCUGGCUUUUACACAGCACACCAAGAUUCCCCUUUUCUCAUGAAAGCAAUAAUUUCUAUCCUAAAAAUGGGGAACGUAAUGCACAGAUAUUUAUGUGUGUAACACUGAAAUCUACAGAGUCUGCAGAAAUAGCUCAACAUCUUAAAGAUAUCAAAGCUUAUAAAUUUGAAGAACACAAUCCUGUAAAACUCACAGAUUCUUCCCCCGUACCACGAGCGCGGCCCUAUAACAAAGACUUGCGGUCAGCUGGUAAUUCGCUGUUUAAACGCUUUGUUAAACAAACCUCAGCCACCAGGGAUCCUAAAGUCGGAGAUCUUUAUGUCACCAUUGCUGACACACUAAAUACCAAUUUAUACAUCCAGACCUGGCGCAGCAACCCUGGAGAGCCUUCUGUAACUGGAAAAAACAAACUAGUCACCAUCAUGUCAGUAGACACUGCCGCAGGUAAAUGGAAUCAUGGAUGUGAUCAUUCCAAAUGGUGUGUUUCUGAAACUCAAGACUGGAUGUGUGUUGGUGACUCAAACAGAGAACCAUCACAGUUCGAAAGGCCUGGUGGUGCACUGUGCAUUAAUAGCAAACGUGUGGCAGAAGCAUUUAGGGAAAUUAAAAAACUUGAAA